rnacentral:rRNA from 1 species
UAGGGAAUCUUCCACAAUGGACGCAAGUCUGAUGGAGCAACGCCGCGUGAGUGAAGAAGGUUUUCGGACCGUAAAGCUCUGUUGUUGGUGAAGAAGGAUAGAGGUAGUAACUGGCCUUUAUUUGACGGUAAUCAACCAGAAAGUCACGGCUAACUACGUGCCAGCAGCCGCGGUAAUACGUAGGUGGCAAGCGUUGUCCGGAUUUAUUGGGCGUAAAGCGAGCGCAGGCGGAAGAAUAAGUCUGAUGUGAAAGCCCUCGGCUUAACCGAGGAAUUGCAUCGGAAACUGUUUUCUUGAGUGCAGAAGAGGAGAGUAGAACUCCAUGUGUAGCGGUGGAAUGCGUAGAUAUAUGGAAGAAUACCAGUGGCGAAGGCGGCUCUCUGGUCUGCAACUGACGCUGAGGCUCGAAAGCAUGGGUAGCGAACAGGAUUAGAUACCCUGGUAGUCCAUGCCGUAAACGAUGAGUGCUAAGUGUUGGGAGGUUUCCGCCUCUCAGUGCUGCAGCUAACGCAUUAAGCACUCCGCCUGGGGGAGUACGACCGCAAGGUUGAA